AUUGAGACCCACUGGAGGUUCGCGAGAUCCCGUCCCCUUGCUUCUGCGGCAGGUUGUGCUUCUUUCGGUGGCGCAAGGAUUGAAGAUGAGGGUUGGUGUUCCUGAUGGAUCCCGUGGACUGAUGAGUUUCCCCUUCGCGCUGCUCGUAUUUCGAUUCCUUGAUUUGAUUUGCGGCGCUGAAAUUUCGGCCAACGAUUUUGGUGCUCCCCGCCCCCUGCUGCGACCGCCGGUGACUGGUGCGACUUGCAGGUUUCCUCUUGAACAUCCAGAUCCGGUCCCCCUUGGCCCUGCUGCCGCACAGUCUUGCCCAACCGCACAGUCUUGGCCCUGCUGCCGCACUACUUCGUUCUAUCUGUUUUACCAGCGAGCCAUAUGCAUAGUUGUGUGUGCUGUGCGAUUUCACCACUGCAAAAUAUUUGUUUGUGUGUCGCUGGAAUAUUCAGGGGAUUUGGGAAAAGUGAAAUUCGAAUAUAUGUUUGUUCAGGGAUUUUGGAGAAGUGUCAUGGCAUCGUUUGAAUUUUGUCACCGCUGGGCAGUGCACCACCUGAAAGAACUCUGCGCGCAUCGAGGAUGAGUGAGCUAGAGAAAUUCCACAAAUUCGCUGAGGAGCCGACGAAGAGUGUAAUGAGACCAAAGCUUGGUUUGAGUUUCGACUCCCUUGGCGAGCAUACAACUGUACAACUUGUAUUUGCGGGAGGUGGGCAUUGGGAUUAGGUAUGGUUCAGAUUGAACGCUCAUUUGCGGCUACUCGGGCAAGCGAGAGGCGGCAAAUAGUUGGUCUUGCGGGCGUUCGGCAGUAGCUGCUACAUAACUGAGCAUCAUGAGAAUCACAAUCACUGACAAUGGGAGAGAAGGUGCACUGGUCUGGCCCUCACACAAGCACAUUGAUGAUUACACUGAGGAUCAAAUGUAGCGGCUUAAAGGAAAAUAAUGUGAACCCUGGAAAACAACAUCAUCAGUAGUUUCUUCAGACCUCUUGAGAAAGUGUUGUUCACUAAGAGGACUUUGAGGAACAUAUGCGGAAAGAUAAUCCUUGAGCAGGCGGACGAUGAUGUUAGGAAAACCUUCGAGUUUUUCCUGACAUUGUAGCUAGUGAGCCAGACUAAAUGUAUCGAAUUCUUGCGGAUAGCCAAAGCAGGGUCAAGAAUUUGAUGUGGGGAUUUCGUCACUUUUUUGACACAACCUACAGGACAAACCUGUACGACAUGCCAUCUGGGCCUUUUGUUGGAGUGAACAACCAUUUCCAGAGCAUUAUAUUGGCUGGAUUGCCGAUGAGGGUCGAGCAAGUCGAGUUUUGAGUGGGUAUUCGCGGAGUACCUGCGGAUGAUGGGAGGCCCCGCCCUGAAAACUAUCCUGACAGCUAUGAAGGUGCCAUUAGCAAAAUGUAUCCGGACACCAUGCACCGGUGGUGCAAGUGGCACACACCGAAGAAGGCGAAGGAGAGCCUAGGUCCUUUGUACACGAAGAAGAACGAGGUCAGAUCUGAGUUCUACAAAGUUGUGAACCACAUGCUGUUGAUCGGUGAGUUUGAGGCUUAUUCCUCCAGAGUGGCUUAUGAGGUGACAAUCAAGGACAGUUCGAGCAUACGGGAAUGCUUUGCUGCCAUGUCUGACGGGUUGAUGUCCUUCACUCGAGGAGAUACCGGAGAAACACAUUGUGAAGAUGCGGACAAAGGAUGCGAGGUAUAUACUGCCUGGCCAUCUCAUGCACUACCAGAAAAACAAGACGCUGAAUAAGUAUUUCAGGUGCCGGCAUUUGACUCUGUAUGUGCAUGCUAUGGAGGAUGCAACUGCUGAAACCUUCGAGCACAUGUCGGCUGGUCUGAAAGCACCGGGGUUGAGUUGUGCGCCAAUAGCGGAGAAGAGGGAUGGUCUGGGAUUUGAAGAUUGUCAGGUUGUGAUGCCCGCAGGCAGGUUAACUGGGAAUGGAGACAUUGCAGUCUUAGCAAAUGGUGGUGCAGACCAGCAAGAUUGUUUGUGCAUCUCGGUCAGAUUGAGUCCACUUUAGGGGCUAGCACCUCCAGAGAAGCAGAGGGGUCUUGGUAGGCCGACAAAUAGCCGGGAGAAAGCACCAUACAAAGGUCUGAGCAAACAUACAAUGUUUCGUAGCAUAUGUCGUUGCGAAGGACACAAAAGGACAACAUACCCUGAGCGGGGGAUGCACCAAAACAUCCUCGCAAGCCCAACAAAUGCAAGAACUGUGGAAUGGAGGGGCACUGUCGAAACACGGGCACUCGACCACUUGGUGGUGGCCAGACAUAUUCGUGAAUACUAAAUUGGCUUGUGUAAUUUGUGAUUCGAGGAUUUUCAGGUGUGUUUGGUGAAUGGUGAGCUAUGCUCCAGGCUUGUUUAGAUCUAAGAUAUUUUUAUGACCUUGCGAGACCUACACCAUUUUUUGCUGGGAGGCAGUGACGUGUACAACGCCGCCGGAGUACUAAAGUUAGUACAAAGUGAAGUCAUUUAUUUUGGGAUGGAGGGAGUUAUCACUCUGGUGGUCCCGUAGGAUUUUUGUCGGACUGUUUUCACGGUCUGCCAUUUGCCUUCUCUGCAUACCGUACAUAUUGGGGGUAUGGUUUAUUUACAAGGAAACGGUGCGAGAAUAUACCGGCAAACAAA